AGGGGGAAUGGAGCAUCUAGCAGGGUGAUGCUCUGCUUCUCUUUUGCCACAGUGCUCCCCCAACCCGGACAGUCUGGGAGCGUUCUUUGCAAGCUUGGGAACCAGCCCUCAGCAAGCCAUUCUGCCCAUGGAGCCUCCACCCUGACUGAGACAGAACAUUUCAAGAACAUUGGAUGAUCAGAAAGUUAUCUAAGCCAAACUCUCUAAGUUUAUGUAGGUUUAUGGUUCCAGAGGGAUAGCACCCAUAGUGAUGGAGGGGCACGGCACUGAGCAGAAAGUAUGGCAAAAGGAGCAGGAAGGUGAAAGCUCAUGUCUCAGAAUUCGAGCAUGAAGGAGAGCAACUGGAAGUGGUAAGAAUAUGCAGGACGGCUGGAGAGAAGGCUCCUCCGCAGUUAUGGAUAAUGAAGUAUGUGCCAGCAGAGUGAAAGGGGGCUGUGAGACCAGAAGAAACUGAGGCCACGCUCACUCCUCCUGGUACUCUUGGCAUCCUCCAGCUCUCUCUGAAGGUCAACCUCUGGUGGAGAACACAGCGAUCCAUCAAACAAGCAGCUACAGUUCUGCCAGCACUCGCCCAAAAUAAUUUGCCACUUGCAGGAGCUCCCCCUCAGGGAGCUAAUUCUUACAUGACUCUCAGUGUCCUCUGUUUCAUCUUGAUCAAAGCUGUCAUCCAUCUGUCAGUGGACAGCGUUCGGGUGGCCCUCCUUGUGUGCUCUGAAGCCUGGCCACACCGUCAAAUUCUGUCUAGGUUUCGAGGAUGUGAAACUUAUUGGCAAUCUUUCCCCCAACAUAUCGUCCAAAUCACUCACAGGGGAGUUUCAGUGCUUUGGCGAGAAGGCCUGGUCUUAGCAGAAACACAGAGAAGCUUCCUCCAGACUCUGUCAAGUUCUUUAGUCUCUGUACAGCUUCCUCUACAUCUUAUCAUAGAUGGACAACAACUGUGUCCUUCAUCACGUAAAGGGGAGGGAUAGAUGAACUAUCCAAUAAACAUUUGGUAAGCGGGACCACUGUGGGUGAACUUCUUCCCCAUCCCCCUCCCUUUUCAUCCCUCUUUG